rnacentral:tRNA from 1 species
GGGCAUUUGGUCUAGUGGUAUGAUUUUCGCUUAGGGUACGAGAUGUCCCGAGUUCAAUUCUCGGAAUGCCCC